GGAUGUGGGAGCAAUCUGGCUGCAACAUCUGUCACCCCAUUAAUCACCAGGGUUAAUACGACUAAUCUGGCUGGUUAGGUGGGUGUCCCUUCCUCCCUCAUCAUUCCAUGUACAUGCCUCCCCAAGCUGCACUCUGGGUUGAAGAAGACGACCAUCCUGACCAUCUGCAAUAGAUGAGGAUAGGUCUUCAGUCAAAAGUAUGAGUGGCUGUGCUUCCCUGCCAGAUCCUCCAAACAUUCUCUCUAGAAAUGUACAAUAAAAAAUAAUAAAAAUAAAAAUUUACUUUUCAAAAUAGCAUCUAUAUAAAAAAUAUCGGAAUGUACUAU
rnacentral:snRNA from 1 species